UACGGAAGGCAGCAGUAGGGAAUCUUCCGCAAUGGACGAAAGUCUGACGGAGCAACGCCGCGUGAACGAUGAAGGCUUUCGGGUCGUAAAGUUCUGUUGUUAGGGAAGAACAAGUACCGGAGUAACUGCCGGUACCUUGACGGUACCUAACCAGAAAGCCACGGCUAACUACGUGCCAGCAGCCGCGGUAAUACGUAGGUGGCAAGCGUUGUCCGGAAUUAUUGGGCGUAAAGCGCGCGCAGGCGGUCCUUUAAGUCUGAUGUGAAAGCCCACGGCUCAACCGUGGAGGGUCAUUGGAAACUGGGGGACUUGAGUGCAGAAGAGGAGAGUGGAAUUCCACGUGUAGCGGUGAAAUGCGUAGAGAUGUGGAGGAACACCAGUGGCGAAGGCGACUCUCUGGUCUGUAACUGACGCUGAGGCGCGAAAGCGUGGGGAGCGAACAGGGAUUAGAUACC
rnacentral:rRNA from 1 species